UACAGAGGUCCCAAGCGUUGUUCGGAUUCACUGGGCGUAAAGGGUGCGCAGGUGGGUUUGCAAGUUUGAUGUGAAAGCCCCGGGCUUAACCCGGGAAUGGCAUUGAAUACUGCAGAUCUGGAGGAUUGGAGGGGGGACUGGAAUUCUUGGUGUAGCAGUGAAAUGCGUAGAUAUCAAGAGGAACACCAGUAGGCGAAGGCGAGUCCCUGGACAAUACCUGACACUGAGGCACGAAAGCUAGGGGAGCAAACAGG
rnacentral:rRNA from 1 species